GGAAUAUUGGGCAAUGGGCGAAAGCCUGACCCAGCGACGCCGCGUGCGGGAUGAAGGCCUUCGGGUUGUAAACCGCUUUCAGCAGGGAAGAAGCGAAAGUGACGGUACCUGAAGAAGAAGCACCGGCUAACUAUGUGCCAGCAGCCGCGGUAAUACAUAGGGUGCAAGCGUUGUCCGGAAUUAUUGGGCGUAAAGAGCUCGUAGGUGGUUCGUUACGUCGGAUGUGAAAACCUGAGGCUCAACCUCAGGCCUGCAUUCGAUACGGGCGAACUUGAGUGUGGUAGGGGAGGCUGGAAUUCCUGGUGUAGCGGUGGAAUGCGCAGAUAUCAGGAGGAACACCAAUGGCGAAGGCAGGCCUCUGGGCCACUACUGACACUGAGGAGCGAAAGCGUGGGGAGCAAACAGGAUUAGAUACCCUGGUAGUCCACGCUGUAAACGGUGGGCACUAGUUGUGGGAACCUUCCACGGUUUCUGCGACGUAGCAAACGCAUUAAGUGCCCCGCCUGGGGAGUACGAUCGCAAGAUUAAAACUCAAAUGAAUUGACGG
rnacentral:rRNA from 1 species